UAUAAUUGUAUUUUGAUUGUUAAUUCUAAAAUUUGACUUGUAUAUACCGUCUCGUAUUAAGAUCGAUCCAAACUUGUCCUAUCAUAUAACUCCCUCUCUUAAAAUUAAACAUCAAU
rnacentral:sRNA from 1 species